AAGGAAGAAAGAAGCAGCAGCAGGACUGGGCUUGCUCUGCAGUGAUGGGCCAAUUGCCUCUUUGGAGGGCAGGGGGAGCACAGAGAGUCUGAACGAAACUUGAGCUCUGGCGCAGCACUGGAGACUACACUUCCCAGCAUCCCUUGCAGCUUGGUAUGGCUGUGGGAUCAAGUUGUCACCAAUGCAAGGUUUUUCCUUCUUGGAAAUUCCUUUCUCCUUCCCUGGAUACCUGUGCCAGCCUGAAAACCAGCUGUGCAAACACGUCCCCGUCCUCAUCCCCAGAACCUGUGAACACCGCGCCUUAUUUAGCCAAGAGCCAUUACAGGUCAUUAUGUGAAGGACCAUGAGAUGAGUGUCCUGAAUCUUCCAGGUGGGCCCAAUGUCAUCACGAGUGUCCUGAGAGGAGGGAGGCAGCAGCGUCAGGGGCCGAGGAGCUGCCCACAUGGAAGCCAGGAUCAGAGGGGAGAAGAUGCUUGGCUGCCGUCUUUGAAGAUGAAUGAAGGGGGCCGUGACCCCAGGAAAGGAGUCAGACUCUAGCAGCAGAAAAAGGCAAGGAAGGGUUCUCCCCUAGAAUUUCCAGGAGCCAACCCUGCUGGCCCCUUGACAUUAGCCCAGUGAAACGGAUUUCAGACUUCUAGCCUCCAGGACUCUACGAGCAGAAACUCGUGUUGUUCGUGGUCAUUCGUUACGGCAGCAACAGGGAGCUGACACGGUUACCUCACCCCCUCUCCCUGUGCACUUUGGCCUCUACAGUUUGGCGCUGUCGGGCCUUAGCUGGCAUCACAACAUUAUAAUAGCGACUUGCACAGCGCUUCGAGAUGUGCAGAGAGAAUGAAGCAAAGCCUGAGCAUUUACCCUGUGACAGACCUUCUGUAAGCCCUCUCCAUGCACCGACCACUGGGUCCCAUGGAUAUCCUACUGCUUGUCCAAGGCGUGUGGAGCGGAAACCCAAACCACGGUGUCUAACCUCAUAACCCGUGCUCUCAAUUAGAACCCUCCACUGCCUCUUCACUUUAUAGUCUACAUUCGAUGAUCACCUUUGGUCCUUCUGCGAAGCCUUUAAAGAGGGUAUUUUUUUUUAAUCAGCCUUCAUUUAUAGAUGAGGAAUACGAGGCUCAGAGGGUUUAGGUAAUUUUACCAAGACUGUUCAUGCAGGAAGAGUCAAAGCUAGCCCUUAAACACCCCGACUGCUUCCUUCUUUCUGACCCAUUCAUGAGAAAGAACUGCUCCUCCCUUGAACUCCACAGGACUUGGUAAAUACCUCGGUCACCACAAGGCAUUCUGAUUGUCUGUGUGGAAUGUGAGCCUUUAGCAGGCCAAACCCUUGUGGUCAGAUUUUCUAGGACAUCAUAAUUAAAGAGGCAGAGGCAGCCCAAAACAGGCAAA